UAAGUGGUGAUUUUUGUUAGUGUAAGUGUCUCACAAACUUAUGUUAAAAUAAAUUUUAAAUGUUUAUCUGAAAGGCAAGAUUACUCAGCAUUCUGUAUUUUCACUUACUAACUCAGGUAAUCCUAGUUCCUAUGACUGGAGAAACAGUGAAGUCACUGCAUGCACCUGGGCUUCCCCCUGGAUUGGACUCUGAUUCUGACAUACACAGAUAUUUGAUGCCAAGUCACAAAGGCCUGGCAGUGCUGCAGGAGGAGAACAUUUUAUCACAGUGUUCUACUCUGGAAAAUUUCAUCCCAAGAAGGACCCUGUGUAGUGUCCUCCACUGCAAGGUCAUCCCCUUGUUGAAUGCA
rnacentral:lncRNA from 1 species